rnacentral:rRNA from 1 species
ACGGAUAUCUCGGCUCUCGCAUCGAUGAAGAACGUAGCGAAAUGCGAUACCUGGUGUGAAUUGCAGAAUCCCGCGAACCAUCGAGUCUUUGAACGCAAGUUGCGCCAGAGGCCUUUUGGCCGAGGGCACGCCUGCCUGGGCGUCACGCCAAACACGCUCCCACC